rnacentral:rRNA from 1 species
GACGAACGCUGGCGGCGUGCUUAACACAUGCAAGUCGAACGGAAAGGCCCUGCUUUUGUGGGGUGCUCGAGUGGCGAACGGGUGAGUAACACGUGAGUAACCUGUCCUUGACUUUGGGAUAACUUCAGGAAACUGGGGCUAAUACCGGAUAGGAGCUCCCGCUGCAUGGUGGGGGUUGGAUAGUUUCGGCGGUUGGGGAUGGACUCGCGGCUUAUCAGCUUGUUGGUGGGGUAGUGGCUUACCAAGGCUUUGACGGGUAGCCGGCCUGGGAGGGUGACCGGCCACAUUGGGACUGAGAUGCGGCCCAGACUCCUACGGGAGGCAGAAGUGGGGAAGAUUGCACAAUGGGCGGAAGCCUGAUGCGGCAACGCAGCGUGCGGGAUGACGGGCUUCGGGUUGUGAACCGCUUUCGCCUGUGACGAAGCGAGAGUGACGGUAAUGGGUAAAGAAGCACCGGCUAACUACGUG